AGAGUGAACGCUGGCGGUAGGCCUAACACAUGCAAGUCGAACGGCAGCACGGUAAGAGCUUGCUCUUAUGGGUGGCGAGUGGCGGACGGGUGAGGAAUACAUCGGAAUCUACCUUUUGGUGGGGGAUAACGUAGGGAAACUUACGCUAAUACCGCAUACGCCCUUCGGGGGAAAGCCGGGGACCAGCAAUGGCCUGGUGCUGAUAGAUGAGCCGAUGUCGGAUUAGCUAGUUGGUGAGGUAAUGGCUCACCAAGGCGACGAUCCGUAGCUGGUCUGAGAGGAUGAUCAGCCACACUGGAACUGAGACACGGUCCAGACCUCCGUACGGGAGCAGCA
rnacentral:rRNA from 1 species